CAGGGAGCAGACCAGUCCAGUAGAGUUGCCUUCAAUUAAGUUCCCACUGGGCUUGUGCUCACUGUC
rnacentral:pre_miRNA from 1 species